rnacentral:lncRNA from 1 species
GGUUCUGGCUGCAGCACACAUCCCCCCCCUCCCCUCCCCUCCACCGUGCUGCAGGGAAUCCCAGCAUGCUCCGUCCACGGCCUGACUGGAAGGCUCCAUGGCAACCUCCGGGGUCAGGGGUUGCACAGAAAGGUUGCUUUUAUCUGCUAAUGAGAGAGUACAAACAGGAAACGGACGUCUUACCGGAGCGACCUGCACCACCUGCAGCUGGAUGUGCUGCGGCUGAGCCAGGCUGCCCCCCGGCUGAGACACCGGGAUGUACUGGAUCCUCUGAAGUGAGUCCGAACCUGGAGGCGGAGCUCAGCUUGUCGUCGUGCAUGUUGAGGUGCUGCUGCAGCUGCUCCGAGCUCACAAAGCGCCGGUUGCAUUCGUAACAGGGCCAGUUCUUCUCCUGCUCCCUGAGGACUGAACAGAAGAGGGCGGAUGACGCCGAUCCGAGGUCGUACUCUGCACCCGGGAGGUAAAAACACCAGACUCACCUUUGAUCUCUUCUUCCGUCACAUCGUGGAUCUUCUGAUUCACAAACUCUGCAUACGACGCUGCAUACCACACCUGAAAAAUGUAGACACAAAAAAGGUAUUUUCCACAAAAGCAGAAGUUUGAUGAAGAAAAAGCCGCAGCAGCAGACUGGCCGACCUUCAGCUCCUGCUUGGGCUGGACGUUUUUGAUGGUGGUGUAAAACAGUUCGGAUCCGUACUGAUAGGCCACCAGGUUCUGCUCCAAGUGGUUCCGAGCGGGGCGCACAAACAUCAUCCAGUUGCAGCUGUCUUCGUCGGAGAGGUCAAACCAAAGGUCGUCCGACGUCUGCGCCUCCUUUUCUGCGUCCAGCUUGCACAGCUGGAACACACAUGAGGGAAAUCUGCUUAAGCCCAUAACACCAGAGGCGUCACCGGUGACGCUUAAACACAAAAUCUUUUACUUUAACGGUUGAAAAGUUAGAGUAGAUCACAGAACACAAACACUGGAGCUCUGCUGUUAAAGGAUUAAAGCCCCCUAUGACAAAUUACUUUAUUUAAAAAAAACAUUCCAGAUAGUGUUUUAAUUAUGAUGAUUUUUAGCCAAAAUCCCACAAUCUAAAUGCCUAAAAAAGCCAUUUUAAUCUGAAGCCUCCGUUUCCAAAAUCUCCUCUGGGUGGGUGUGGCUGAGUAGCUCCGCCCCUGACCAUCUGAUUGUGAUAGCUCUGUGUCUGGCGAGUGCAAAUCUUCACCGAUGCUACAUAAAAGUGC